ensembl:antisense Apol7d uncharacterized LOC110310922
CUCUGACUGACAGCCACCGGGGAUUGAGGCUGCACGAUUUGCUGAGCCUGCCUCUUGCUCUUCCCGGCUUCGGUGCAGCGCACCGAGGUCCCCAGGCACAGGACUGCCAGCAGCAGCAGCCGCCCGGGUCCCGGACCCCUGAGCAUCUUGAAUGGAUGCGAGGAGAGUCGCCCUCCCCAGGAGCGCAGCGGGUGCGAGCGGCUGAGCCCCAAGAGCAGAGGCUUAUAUGGGACAGUCCCUUCCCGCCCCCCACGAGGCCCUGCGCGCCGGGGAGGAGGGUCCGGUCCGACUCCUCCCGCCCCUCCUGCCGCCGCAGCCGCCGCCGACCGCGCGCCUAUUGGCCCAGAGUCCGGGUGACGUCACGGGGUACGGUGGGUUCGCCCCGAACAAAAGAGAUGCUGAUCUCCCGCCAGAAUGACGUUACUCCCGAAGGCUUUGCGAAGGAGUCCACUUCAUCUAGUAAAACGGAAAGAACUUCUGUGCAACUGGACCACUUCACCAGGCUGCAUCUACUUCCCAAGACAGGCAGCAUGUGGUUGGGAAAUCUUUAUUUAUAUUAAUUGUUGAUACUUUUUCCAGUUUGGCUUUAUCUUAUGUUGGCGACAAGAUUUUAAGCCCAAUUUUGUUCUGUUGGCAAUUUGUUUUGGAAGGUUGACGUAAAAGGAGAAAAAAAAACUUGAAAAAUGUUUUUCAUAUUUAAAUUACUUUCAUUUUUUAAUCACCACGUAUUACAGAUUUCUCGUAUGCAAUUGGUCAUGAAGAUGCAAAAAAAUAACCAUGAAUAUUAUGCUUUAAGUAAAGAUGUAUACCAAUAGUAGACUAUUGUG